GAUGAAGAACGCAGCGAAAUGCGAUAAGUAGUGCGAAUUGCAGAAUUCAGUGAAUCAUCGAAUCUUUGAACGCACAUUGCGCCCUUUGGUAUUCCUUAGGGCAUGCCUGUUCGAGCGUCAUUUAAACCUUCAAGCUCAGCUUGGUGUUGGGUGACUGUCCGCUUCACCGCGGACUCGCCUCAAAAUUAUUGGCGGCCGGUACAUUGGCUUCGAGCGCAGCAGAAACGCGAACUCGGGCCCGUCGUAUUGGCUCCCAGAAGCUAUCUUCACAAUUUUGACCUCGGAUCAGGUAGGGAUACCCGCUGAACUUAAGCAUAUCAAUAAGCGGAGGA
rnacentral:misc_RNA from 1 species